UAUUGUUAUCCGAUUACUAAACUGAAGAUUUUUACUAUAAUAUUAUCUUUGUGGUUUUUACCAUCAGAUACCCGAUUCACCUGAUUCUCCUGACGCCCAGCAUGCUGAGGACUUUUUAGAGGCUUUAAUAGCAGAAGAACAGAUACCCGAUUCACCCGAUUCUCCAGGAGCCCAGCACGAUGAGGACUUUUUUGAGGCUUUAUUAGAAGAAGAAGAAGAACAGCAGUCAUCUGACCCUUGGGAAUUCCCAUCACGCGGUAGCUGCAGACGCAGAACUCCUCCUCCUUCGAGUUCUUCAGAUUCGGUUAGUGGAAUUUUUGUGUGUGUGUGUGUGUGUGUGUGUGUGUGUGUGUGUGUGUGUGUGUGUGUGUGUGUGUGUGUUCAGUGAUCUAGUUUCCGUAAUCUACAGAAUCACACAAUUUUACAGGCAGUCCACGUUGCACUGAUAGACGGACCCCCUCAGGAUGAACCUAUAGAUUUGACUAAUCCAUCUCACCGAGAUCCCAUACCACCAUCACCCGCUGGCGACGGUCCUUGUUCCCGUCAUUGUACCGUAUGUCUUGAAGAAGAUAGGCAGAGACGUCGUAUCGCUAGAUUUUUUCAGGUUGGAAAAUUAGUCUUUAUUGACGCUUUUGCGAUUUGA